UUAAUUCUAAUAUAAGGUCUCAUAAUCACACUUAAUCAUAGUGAAUGUAAACAGUUUAUAUUUCCCAUCCUGCAUCGCUCUGUAGGCGCUUUAUUUCAUUGGUCAAUUUCCCGAGGCGCCAUUUUUGGAGGAUCGAGAAGGACGAAGAAGAAGGUGUAAGCAGCUGGUAAAUGUGAAAAGUUAAGAUGGUUUCACCACCCAGUGUCUUUAAGACUGUGAUAAAUGCAAUGGCCAACGAUGAAGGAUUAGUAGAGAAGAAAACUGUGUGACUUUAAAAGAAAACCAGUGAGAUAAAAUCAUAGAAAAUGUAUGAUGAUUCAGGAUGUGAUCAUUUGUGACAUUAAAACAGGAAUUGUCAUCACCAAUAGACGAGUUUCACAUUCUUAAGAGUUUUCUCCAAUUGUCGGCGUAUCGCUC